UGUAGUGAUAAGGAGACUGUCU
rnacentral:miRNA from 1 species